UGACAUCCCACUGACAAAGUAUGUAAUGUACUCUUCCUUCGGGACAGUGGUGACAGGUGGUGCAUGGUUGUCGUCAGCUCGUGUCGUGAGAUGUUGGGUUAAGUCCCGCAACGAGCGCAACCCUUAUCUUUAGUAGCCAGCAUUUAGGAUGGGCACUCUAGAGAGACUGCCCGGGUGAACCGGGAGGAAGGUGGGGACGACGUCAAAUCAUCAUGCCCCUUAUGACCAGGGCUACACACGUGCUACAAUGGCGUAAACAAAGAGAAGCGAGCCUGUGAGGGGGAGCCAACCUCAAAAAUAACGUCUCAGUUCGGACUGCAGUCUGCAACUCGACUGCACGAAGCUGGAAUCGCUAGUAAUCGCGAAUCAGAAUGUCGCGGUGAAUACGUUCCCGGGUCUUGUACACACCGCCCGUCACACCAUGGGAGUCGGAAAUGCCCGAAGCCUGUGACCCAACCAUCCGGAGGGAGCAGUCGAAGGUGGAGCCGAUGACUGGGGUG
rnacentral:rRNA from 1 species